rnacentral:rRNA from 1 species
GGGAGCUUGCUCCCGGAUGUUAGCGGCGGACGGGUGAGUAACACGUGGGUAACCUGCCUGUAAGACUGGGAUAACUCCGGGAAACCGGAGCUAAUACCGGAUAGUUCCUUGAACCGCAUGGUUCAAGGAUGAAAGACGGUUUCGGCUGUCACUUACAGAUGGACCCGCGGCGCAUUAGCUAGUUGGUGGGGUAAUGGCUCACCAAGGCGACGAUGCGUAGCCGACCUGAGAGGGUGAUCGGCCACACUGGGACUGAGACACGGCCCAGACUCCUACGGGAGGCAGCAGUAGGGAAUCUUCCGCAAUGGACGAAAGUCUGACGGAGCAACGCCGCGUGAGUGAUGAAGGUUUUCGGAUCGUAAAGCUCUGUUGUUAGGGAAGAACAAGUGCGAGAGUAACUGCUCGCACCUUGACGGUACCUAACCAGAAAGCCACGGCUAACUACGUGCCAGCAGCCGCGGUAAUACGUAGGUGGCAAGCGUUGUCCGGAAUUAUUGGGCGUAAAGGGCUCGCAGGCGGUUUCUUAAGUCUGAUGUGAAAGCCCCCGGCUCAACCGGGGAGGGUCAUUGGAAACUGGGAAACUUGAGUGCAGAAGAGGAGAGUGGAAUUCCACGUGUAGCGGUGAAAUGCGUAGAGAUGUGGAGGAACACCAGUGGCGAAGGCGACUCUCUGGUCUGUAACUGACGCUGAGGAGCGAAAGCGUGGGGAGCGAACAGGAUUAGAUACCCUGGUA